rnacentral:siRNA from 1 species
AUGCUCAUUCUUGCUGACGUACUC